UUUAAGAUUUAACCUGCCCUAUGAAAAAUUAAAUGGCCGCAGUAAUUUGACUGUGCAAAGGUAGCAUAAUCAUUAGUUUUUUAAUUAAAAGCUGGAAUGAAUGGUUGGACGAGAAAGUGACUGUCUCAGUAUAAUUUAAAUUAGAAUUUUAUUUUUAAGUUAAAAAGCUUAAAUUAUAUUAAAAGACGAGAAGACCCUAUAGAGUUUAAUAUUAAUAUUAUUAUUAGUUUUAUGGUAAUUUAAUAUUAGUAUUAGUAUUAAUAUUUGAUUGGGGUGAUAGUAAAAUUAGAUUAACUUUUAUUAGUUAUUAACAUAGAUUAAUGAGUUUAGGAUCCAUUUAUUUUGAUUGAAAGAUUAAAUUACCUUAGGGAUAACAGCGUUAUUUUUUCUGAGAGUUCUUAUCGAAGAAAGAGUUUGCGACCUCGAUGUUGGAUUAAAAUUAACUUUUGGUGUAGGUGCUGAAAAGUUAGGUCUGUUCGACCUAUAAAAUUUUACAUGAUCUGAGUUCAAACC
rnacentral:rRNA from 1 species